UACGUAGGUGGCAAGCGUUGUCCGGAAUUAUUGGGCGUAAAGCGCGCGCAGGCGGUCCUUUAAGUCUGAUGUGAAAGCCCACGGCUCAACCGUGGAGGGUCAUUGGAAACUGGGGACUUGAGUACAGAAGAGAAGAGUGGAAUUCCACGUGUAGCGGUGAAAUGCGUAGAGAUGUGGAGGAACACCAGUGGCGAAGGCGACUCUUUGGUCUGUAACUGACGCUGAGGCGCGAAAGCGUGGGAGCAAACAGG
rnacentral:rRNA from 1 species